rnacentral:rRNA from 1 species
UACGUAGGGGGCAAGCGUUGUCCGGAUUUAUUGGGCGUAAAAGGCUUGUAGGUGGCCACGCCAAGUCGGAUGUGAAAUCUCCCGGCUCAACUGGGAGGGGUCAUUCGAUACUGGCGGGCUCGAGGCCGGUAGGGGGAAGUGGAAUUCCCGGUGUAGUGGUGGAAUGCGUAGAUAUCGGGAGGAACACCAGUGGCGAAGGCGGCUUCCUGGACCGGUUCUGACACUGAGACGCGAAAGCGUGGGGAGCAAACAGG